rnacentral:rRNA from 1 species
AGAGUUUGAUCCUGGCUCAGGAUGAACGCUGGCGGCGUGCCUAAUACAUGCAAGUCGAGCGAACGGACGAGAAGCUUGCUUCUCUGAUGUUAGCAGCGGACGGGUGAGUAACACGUGGAUAACCUACCUAUAAGACUGGGAUAACUUCGGGAAACCGGAGCUAAUACCGGAUAAUAUUUUGAACCGCAUGGUUCAAAAGUGAAAGACGGUCUUGCUGUCACUUAUAGAUGGAUCCGCGCUGCAUUAGCUAGUUGGUAAGGUAACGGCUUACCAAGGCAACGAUGCAUAGCCGACCUGAGAGGGUGAUCGGCCACACUGGAACUGAGACACGGUCCAGACUCCUACGGGAGGCAGCAGUAGGGAAUCUUCCGCAAUGGGCGAAAGCCUGACGGAGCAACGCCGCGUGAGUGAUGAAGGUCUUCGGAUCGUAAAACUCUGUUAUUAGGGAAGAACAUAUGUGUAAGUAACUGUGCACAUCUUGACGGUACCUAAUCAGAAAGCCACGGCUAACUACGUGCCAGCAGCCGCGGUAAUACGUAGGUGGCAAGCGUUAUCCGGAAUUAUUGGGCGUAAAGCGCGCGUAGGCGGUUUUUUAAGUCUGAUGUGAAAGCCCACGGCUCAACCGUGGAGGGUCAUUGGAAACUGGAAAACUUGAGUGCAGAAGAGGAAAGUGGAAUUCCAUGUGUAGCGGUGAAAUGCGCAGAGAUAUGGAGGAACACCAGUGGCGAAGGCGACUUUCUGGUCUGUAACUGACGCUGAUGUGCGAAAGCGUGGGGAUCAAACAGGAUUAGAUACCCUGGUAGUCCACGCCGUAAACGAUGAGUGCUAAGUGUUAGGGGGUUUCCGCCCCUUAGUGCUGCAGCUAACGCAUUAAGCACUCCGCCUGGGGAGUACGACCGCAAGGUUGAAACUCAAAGGAAUUGACGGGGACCCGCACAAGCGGUGGAGCAUGUGGUUUAAUUCGAAGCAACGCGAAGAACCUUACCAAAUCUUGACAUCCUUUGACAACUCUAGAGAUAGAGCCUUCCCCUUCGGGGGACAAAGUGACAGGUGGUGCAUGGUUGUCGUCAGCUCGUGUCGUGAGAUGUUGGGUUAAGUCCCGCAACGAGCGCAACCCUUAAGCUUAGUUGCCAUCAUUAAGUUGGGCACUCUAAGUUGACUGCCGGUGACAAACCGGAGGAAGGUGGGGAUGACGUCAAAUCAUCAUGCCCCUUAUGAUUUGGGCUACACACGUGCUACAAUGGACAAUACAAAGGGCAGCGAAACCGCGAGGUCAAGCAAAUCCCAUAAAGUUGUUCUCAGUUCGGAUUGUAGUCUGCAACUCGACUACAUGAAGCUGGAAUCGCUAGUAAUCGUAGAUCAGCAUGCUACGGUGAAUACGUUCCCGGGUCUUGUACACACCGCCCGUCACACCACGAGAGUUUGUAACACCCGAAGCCGGUGGAGUAACCUUUUAGGAGCUAGCCGUCGAAGGUGGGACAAAUGAUUGGGGUGAAGUCGUAACAAGGUAGCCGUAUCGGAAGGUGCGGCUGGAUCACCU